rnacentral:rRNA from 1 species
UUCAACAGGGGUGAAAUCUGUAUACACCAUGAAUUUUUUGAUUAAAGUACUUUUUAGGUGGUCAAAUGACUAGGAUUAGAUACCCUAUUAGUCCACUCUUAAUUAACCUGGGUAGUAGUAUCGAAACCUAAAGAAUUUGGCGGUUUCUAAACCUACUAGAGGAACCUGCCCCAUAAACGACAAUCCACGAAAAAAUUCACCCGGGCUAGUUAUGUAGCUUAUAUACCGUCGUUCAGAGGACUAAAUAAAUAGAUCCUCUUAAAAGCUUAGGCUAAUAAAUCAGAUCAAGGUGUAGCUUAUGCCCGGGAGAGGGUGGGUUACAAUGAAAACUCAUACGGAAUUUCUAUUUUAUGAUAGAAAAGAAGGUGGAUUUAGAAGUAAGACUUAAUAUACUGAAAAAGGCUCUCAGAAAUGUACAC